rnacentral:rRNA from 1 species
GAUGAACGCUGGCGGCGUGCCUAAUACAUGCAAGUCGAGCGAACGGACGAGAAGCUUGCUUCUCUGAUGUUAGCGGCGGACGGGUGAGUAACACGUGGAUAACCUACCUAUAAGACUGGGAUAACUUCGGGAAACCGGAGCUAAUACCGGAUAAUAUUUUGAACCGCAUGGUUCAGAAGUGAAAGACGGUCUUGCUGUCACUUAUAGAUGGAUCCGCGCUGCAUUAGCUAGUUGGUAAGGUAACGGCUUACCAAGGCAACGAUGCAUAGCCGACCUGAGAGGGUGAUCGGCCACACUGGAACUGAGACACGGUCCAGACUCCUACGGGAGGCAGCAGUAGGGAAUCUUCCGCAAUGGGCGAAAGCCUGACGGAGCAACGCCGCGUGAGUGAUGAAGGUCUUCGGAUCGUAAAACUCUGUUAUUAGGGAAGAACAUAUGUGUAAGUAACUGUGCACAUCUUGACGGUACCUAAUCAGAAAGCCACGGCUAACUACGUGCCAGCAGCCGCGGUAAUACGUAGGUGGCAAGCGUUAUCCGGAAUUAUUGGGCGUAAAGCGCGCGUAGGCGGUUUUUUAAGUCUGAUGUGAAAGCCCACGGCUCAACCGUGGAGGGUCAUUGGAAACUGGAAAACUUGAGUGCAGAAGAGGAAAGUGGAAUUCCAUGUGUAGCGGUGAAAUGCGCAGAGAUAUGGAGGAACACCAGUGGCGAAGGCGACUUUCUGGUCUGUAACUGACGCUGAUGUGCGAAAGCGUGGGGAUCAAACAGGAUUAGAUACCCUGGUAGUCCACGCCGUAAACGAUGAGUGCUAAGUGUUAGGGGGUUUCCGCCCCUUAGUGCUGCAGCUAACGCAUUAAGCACUCCGCCUGGGGAGUACGACCGCAAGGUUGAAACUCAAAGGAAUUGACGGGGACCCGCACAAGCGGUGGAGCAUGUGGUUUAAUUCGAAGCAACGCGAAGAACCUUACCAAAUCUUGACAUCCUUUGACAACUCUAGAGAUAGAGCCUUCCCCUUCGGGGGGGCAAAGUGACAGGUGGUGCAUGGUUGUCGUCAGCUCGUGUCGUGAGAUGUUGGGUUAAGUCCCGCAACGAGCGCAACCCUUAAGCUUAGUUGCCAUCAUUAAGUUGGGCACUCUAAGUUGACUGCCGGUGACAAACCGGAGGAAGGUGGGGAUGACGUCAAAUCAUCAUGCCCCUUAUGAUUUGGGCUACACACGUGCUACAAUGGACAAUACAAAGGGCAGCGAAACCGCGAGGUCAAGCAAAUCCCAUAAAGUUGUUCUCAGUUCGGAUUGUAGUCUGCAACUCGACUACAUGAAGCUGGAAUCGCUAGUAAUCGUAGAUCAGCAUGCUACGGUGAAUACGUUCCCGGGUCU